rnacentral:rRNA from 1 species
AUACGUAGGGGGCGAGCGUUGUCCGGAAUGAUUGGGCGUAAAGGGCGCGUAGGCGGCCCGGUAAGUCUGGAGUGAAAGUCCUGUUUUUAAGAUGGGAAUUGCUUUGGAUACUGUCGGGCUUGAGUGCAGGAGAGGUAAGUGGAAUUCCCAGUGUAGCGGUGAAAUGCGUAGAGAUUGGGAGGAACACCAGUGGCGAAGGCGGCUUACUGGACUGUAACUGACACUGAGGCGCGAAAGUGUGGGGAGCAAACAGGAUUAGAUACCCUGGUAGUCCACACUGUAAACGAUGAAUGCUAGGUGUAGGGAGUAUCGACCCCUUCUGUGCCUCAGUCAAAACAAUUAGCAGUCCGCCUGGGGAGUACGGCAGCAAGGUUGAAACUCAAAUGCAUUGCCGGGG